rnacentral:rRNA from 1 species
GCAAGCGGAGAUAGAACGUCGAAUACAUCAGUUCCCGUGGGAUCACUGAAGUUAAGCAACGAUCCGCGUGGUUGGUUUCCGAAUGGGUCACCGUUGGAGCAAUCUUUUAUUGUUGGCU